AGAAGCCACUGCACCACUCUAAACUCAAACGGCUGUACCGCCAGGCUGUCAGGACCCUUGUGGCCAUGGUCCCCGAAGGCUCUGUCUGCGGGGCCCUAAUUUCAACGCCCUUCUCUGCUGUUAAUCCAGUAAAUCUCCAAAGUUAGGAAACCUGUGCUUGAGCAGCCGCCAAGGACCUUACAAACUUUCUCUGGUUGUCCCGGGAAAGUUUCAUCCCGAAAGACGUUGAAUUGCCUCUCGGGUUGUCUUCUGCUGGCUUCUCAAAACUACAGAGAUUCUGCGGAGGAGUGGCUCUUUGGCACAGAGGAUGCAAACCCAAGUAAGACUCUCCAACAAAUGUUUCUGCCACACUCAAGAUAAAUAUCCACUUAUGCCAGCAUGGCUUCUCUGAUGGGGAGAAUGUCUACAAUUUAUCACACAGGUCAAGUAUCCAAGAAUGGACUGGAGUCUACAUUCAAAUUUGUAAAUGAAAACAAUAUCAAAACUCAAUGCUAGCAAAUGAAAAUUCUCACCAAAUUCAGCACAGUGAUAAAUGGAAUGGAGCACAACUCAGAGGAAACACAUCAAAAGGAUCUCAAAGGCACACUAAUGAGACAAUACAUG